rnacentral:rRNA from 1 species
AUAAACGCUGGCGGCGCACAUAAGACAUGCAAGUUGAACGGACUUAAUCGAAAUAUUUAUAUUUUGAAGCGGUUAGUGGCGGACUGGUGAGUAACGCGUAAGGAACCUGCCUAUUAGAGGGGAAUAACAGUGAGAAAUCAUUGCUAAUACCGCAUAUGCCAUAGAUAUCACAUGAUAACAGUGGGAAAGGAGCAAUCCGCUAAUAGAUGGCCUUGCGUCUGAUUAGAUAGUUGGUGGGGUAACGGCCUACCAAGUCGACGAUCAGUAGCCGGACUGAGAGGUUGAACGGCCACAUUGGGACUGAGAUACGGCCCAGACUCCUACGGGAGGCAGCAGUCGGGAAUAUUGCGCAAUGGAGGAAACUCUGACGCAGUGACGCCGCGUAUAGGAAGAAGGUUUUCGGAUUGUAAACUAUUGUCGUUAGGGAAGAGAAAGGACAGUACCUAAGGAGGAAGCUCCGGCUAACUACGU